rnacentral:rRNA from 1 species
UACGUAGGGUGCAAGCGUUGUCCGGAAUUAUUGGGCGUAAAGAGCUCGUAGGUGGCCUGUCGCGUCGGCUGUGAAAACUCGGGGCUCAACUCCGAGCUUGCAGUCGAUACGGGCAGGCUAGAGUCGCAGGGGAGACGUGAAUUCCGUGGUGUAGCGGUGAAAUGCGCAGAUAUCGAGGAGGACACCGGUGGCGAAGGCGGGUCUCUGGGCCGAUACUGACACUGAGGGGCGAAAGCGAGGGAGCGACGGAGGA